UUGCCCCAACAUUUAUAUUGAGAGGUUCGUUUAUUGUUCAAUAUAAAGACAUCAAUAAUGGUGAAGAGAUAACCUAUGAUUAUGGAGGACAUGACUUGCCAUGGCGUUCUCGCUAUGGCCAGAAAACGUGCGAGGUAGAUAUUUCCAAAUGUUAUUUAAAAAUUGAUACUAUCAUCGUCCAGUUGCUUGCUUCACAUUUUUUUCUGUCUUCCAGUUUGUCCAUGAGCCUGUCGCUCCAGCCUUGACAGGAAGUGAAGUCACAUCUCCUAAAGAGUUUGUCCAUGAGCCUGUCACUCCAGCCUUGACAAGAAGUGAAGUCACAUCUCCUGAAGAGUUUGUCCAUGAGCCUGUCACUACAGCCUUGACAGGAAGUGAAGUCACAUCUCCUGAAGAGUUUGUCCAUGAGCCUGUCACUCCAGCCUUGACAAGAAGUGAAGUCACAUCUCCUGAAGAGGUUUGU